rnacentral:rRNA from 1 species
UACGGAGGAUGCAAGCGUUAUCCGGAAUUAUUGGGCGUAAAGUGUCCGCAGGUGGUUAUCCAAGUCUGCUGUUAAAGCGCGAGGCUUAACUUCGUACAGGCAGUGGAAACUGGGUGACUGGAGUAUGGUAGGGGUAGCGGGAAUUCCCAGUGUAGCGGUGAAAUGCGUAGAUAUUGGGAAGAACACCAGCGGCGAAAGCGCGCUACUGGGCCAUUACUGACACUCAUGGACGAAAGCUAGGGGAGCGAAAGGG